rnacentral:sRNA from 1 species
GCCAGGUGUGGUGACGCGUGCCUGUAAUCCCAGUGACUCAGGAGGCCGAGGCAGCAGGAUGGCGAGUUCAAGGCCAGUGUGGGAACCUUAGCAAGACGCCAUCUCAGAACAGAACACCAGAGCUCGGGGUGCAGCUCGGGGGGCCAGAACCUGCCUCGC